rnacentral:rRNA from 1 species
UUUAUGGAGAGUUUGAUCCUGGCUCAGGAUGAACGCUGGCGGCGUGCCUAAUACAUGCAAGUCGAGCGAACGGACGAGAAGCUUGCUUCUCUGAUGUUAGCGGCGGACGGGUGAGUAACACGUGGAUAACCUACCUAUAAGACUGGGAUAACUUCGGGAAACCGGAGCUAAUACCGGAUAAUAUUUUGAACCGCAUGCUUCAAAAGUGAAAGACGGUCUUGCUGUCACUUAUAGAUGGAUCCGCGCUGCAUUAGCUAGUUGGUAAGGUAACGGCU